rnacentral:rRNA from 1 species
AUGGUGUCGUGGAGCGACGAGACCAGUGAGGAUUCAGUCCUGAACAUCUCCUCCUGCUGCGAUGGCAUCAUCAAGCUUCCAGCUACGAUGCACGAUCCGAAUUUCAAUGGUACUGACGUAGAUGUGAAUGUGUUGUGUGAACACGACUCAAUGGAGAAGGCAUUGGCCAAGCUAUGGGAUAUGUAUGAGGAGACUAAGUCAGCUAGGACCAACGACAAUCUAGAGAGUUCCUUUGCAAUUCACAACCUGACAGACGAGAAGAAGAAACUACAGGAGAACUAUGACAGUUUGUAUGCUGAUGUGAAUGCUCUUUUGAAUGCCCAGCAGGAGAGGGGUUGGGAGUUAACCAAUCAAAAGGAGCAGAAGCAAUAUCUUGAAGUGAAGAUUGCUGAGCUUGAAACUGUAGUUGGCAACUUGAAGGCAGAGUUGUCAAAGAAAGAGGAGGAGAAGAAGAAACUACAGGAGAACUAUGACAGUUUGUAUGCUGAUGUGAAUUCUCUCUUGGAUGCCCAGCAGCAGAGGGUGGGGAACUUGAAGGCGGAGCUGUCAAAGACAGAGGAGGAGAAGAAGAAGAUGCUGCUAAACUAUGAAACUCUGAAGAACCUGACAUGUGCUCAAGCCAAUGUGAUUAGGAACUUGAAGUUCAAUCAUUUGAAGGAGAAGGAGAGGCUCACAAAAGAGAGGCUUAAACUGCAGUAUCACAUUUCUGAGCUUCAAAAGUUUGAGGAAAAGAUAAAGUUGAAGCUUCAGGGUGUGAAGGCUAUCUUAGAUGAGUAG